CGCGGAGAUAGAGCUACGGUGCGCUCAAAGGUCUCAUAAGCCUUUACUUACCAGGUUCAACUCCUGGCUCCGCAACCA
rnacentral:tRNA from 1 species